UACGUAGGGCGCAAGCGUUGUCCGGAAUUAUUGGGCGUAAAGAGCUCGUAGGCGGUUUGUCACGUCGGCUGUGAAAACCCGAGGCUCAACCUCGGGCCUGCAGUCGAUACGGGCAGACUAGAGUGCUGUAGGGGAGACUGGAAUUCCUGGUGUAGCGGUGAAAUGCGCAGAUAUCAGGAGGAACACCGGUGGCGAAGGCGGUUCUCUGGGCAUUACCUGACGCUGAGGAGCGAAAGCAUGGGGAGCGAACAGG
rnacentral:rRNA from 1 species